rnacentral:rRNA from 1 species
GGGUUGUGAGGUUAAGCGACUAAGCGUACACGGUGGAUGCCCUGGCAGUCAGAGGCGAUGAAGGACGUGCUAAUCUGCGAUAAGCGCCGGUAAGGUGAUAUGAACCGUUAUAACCGGCGAUUUCCGAAUGGGGAAACCCAGUGUGACUCGUCACACUAUCAUUAACUGAAUCCAUAGGUUAAUGAGGCGAACCGGGGGAACUGAAACAUCUAAGUACCCCGAGGAAAAGAAAUCAACCGAGAUUCCCCCAGUAGCGGCGAGCGAACGGGGCGGAGCCCAGAGCCUGAACCAGCAUGUGUGUUAGUGGAAGCGUCUGGAAAGGCGCGCGAUACAGGGUGACAGCCCCGUACACAAAAGCGCAUGUGCUGUGAGCUCGUUGAGUAGGGCGGGA